CAAUAUAAAAUAAAAUAUAAAAAAAUUAUAUACAUCAUUUAAAAUCAUUCACACUACAACAUUACAAUAUAAGAAGAGAUAUUUUACAACAUUACAAUCUUUCACAAUGCAAUCAUUACAACAUUACAAUCAUAUUCUGCACAAUGACCAUCUACUCAAUAAAAUGAAGGAGUGACAUCUUAGUGUAGAUAUCACUCAAUAGCCUCUCAUAUUCUGCACAAUGACCAUCUACUGAGGGGCAUUCACUGUCCAUAUUAUCACGAUCGAGCACUUCCGAUAACUGAGAACACACCGCAGAGUCAGGACCUUUGAGGGGCAUUCAUUGUCCAUAUUAGGCUAUUUUUUAGGCAGCAGACAAACUGAAAAAGCAUAAAUUAGGGAGCCAAACAAUGAGAAUGCACAUAAAUUACACGUCAACAACUUAAGUUAGCAGCAAUACACUCGUUUGCAUAGACAUAUGUUAUAAUCCUUGAAAAUAAAAUGUGUUAACAAUUUAAGAUCCCUUUUCUCAUAAUAAGGAAAGUUUCUACUCAUAAGCAUUUGCAAUCAAGCUUACACAUACACACAUUCAAUGUACCCUACACUAAUAAAAAUUUCAAUUGAAAACAUGGGAAUAAAUGUUACUGUCAGCAAUUGAUGCCCAAAAUAAGUAGCUAAGCUUUAAGACCCUAAACUCACGUAGAGAACAAGGAAACCUGUACUCUAUACCACUAGCAUAUAUAGACUAUUUGCAUGCACAACUUGGUUUUUUAUUUCACACAUAAUGAAUCCUUAAUCUACCUACACCCUAUAAUGUAACUGAAGAAAUCAAACCCAAAGGUAAAAACUUUAUGGUAGUAAUGAAGCAAAAAAAUCAAUUGAAAUCUUUUGACUGAACAUGGUAUCUCCAAAAAGGCAUAUCUGUUCCUUUCUCUUUAUAAACAGAACAUUAGGAUUAGAGUUUAUUCUGCAUCUUUUUUUCUCUGCUGGAUCCAAUCCAUGAUAAACUCAGGCAACUUUAAAGAAAGGGGAUACCUAACUCCUAUUGGUAGAAAAUUAGCUAAGUUGGAUGAUGGAUACAAUUAGCUAAGCUGGAUGCAAUCCAUGAAACCAUUUUGUAGCACCUGUUAAUCAUCAUUAAUUAGAUAAACAUUUGCUUUAAGAAAUAUUUAUGGGAAGAAAUUCAAAUUAGUUGCCAUUUGAUGGAUGAGGAAAACAAUCUAUAUCGUCCUUGAUCGCCAUGAAGAUCCCGUCCAAGAUCGACAAUGGGUUUCCUGCACAACCCAGCCAAGGAGAGUUAAACAAAAACAAAGGUUUACCCCAGUGCCAGAACAUAAUCACAAUUCACACACAAUCAUGAUCAGAUAUGAACUAUUUCAUAGGUGUAGAAACUCCAAAAUUAACUUAAAAUGAAAAUGAAUACAGUCAUAUAAAAUCAGAAUUACCUUUCUCAAACCUUUGUGUGGAAGUUGCAUCUUGCUUUCUUACCUCCUCAGCAUCAAAGGAGAUCAACAAUGACAUUGGGGGCUUCUUAUUACUGAACUCCUCUAUAGCUGAGAUGAUUCACUCUGCAACCUACUCAAUGAAAGUUGGAUUCUUCCUUCACAAUAAUCAAAAAGGCAAUACAAAUUGUCCAAACUGUUAGAAACUUGCCAUGGAUGGGGUUGCAAGCCUCGACCUGUAUACAUAUGCAUAAUCACGAAUCUUCUAGUAGCGAAAUGGAGUCAAAUCACCUAUCCAGCUACUAGCAGGAUCAUAAUGUGGAAGACACUUCAAGGCUGAUUCAACUCGGUCUUCAGAUUUUACAUCAUCUUCCAGAAAAAUAACACCAGGUUCCGGUUUUAAUUCACAGAUCAAACUAUGUCAGUUUCAUAUACUAUAAUACUAAGGACCUUGUUUAAUUAUUAGUCACAAUUUUAAGAAAUAAUUUUCAAUGUCCAUUUUCAUCUUUUAUCAAUGAAAACUUUAAGUGUCCAUUUCAAUAUCUAACUAUUUUUCAGUUUCUUCAUCAAGAGCACCAGACAAAUAGCAUAAUUUAUGUAAAAUAGGCACAUAUAAUAUUCAAUUAAUGAUAUAAGUGAAGAAAAAAAAAACUAAAAUAAACAGGUUAAGAAUGAAAGGUAAACCUUGAGAAGGGAACUCAUGUUUAAACAUUGGAGUCUCCAGUAUCACAGUAUUCCGAAUGAUCUGUCAUUUGUAAACCAAUUUUGCAUUAGCUUUCUUUUUACCUUCACGAAUAACAACAUGCAACAUACAUUAUGUAUUGAGAUAAAAAGAAUAUAAAAAAAUUUAAGACUGCAUUUGUUUAAAUUGAUUUAAGGGGAUGUGAUUGUAAUCCUUCAACGAACUCUUGGUCCUAAAUUUGGUAGGAAACUCAUACUCCAGCUUAAAAAACGCAGGAUAACAUAAUGCCCGUAAAAGGUACCACCAUCUUUCCCAGUUAUCAUUCUUCCUCCACUGUAUUAUGGAACUAUAAUUGUAAAAUUAGUGCCUUUAAACAAAUAUAGCCUUAAUUUCUAUGCUCAUAACACAUCUUAUGUAGUUAUGUAUGCAUCUAUGGAAUUAAAGUAAAAUUUUCAUAUGAUUUUACAUAUAUAUAUUUUACACACAUGUAUGUAUAUGUGUGUGUGCGUGGUAUCUGCAUAAAGUAAGCUGAGACUUGCAUACAAAUUACAAUCAGACCUCAGCCAUUUUAUUAUGCUUCUUCAAUUGACCUAUGAUCAAAGAACCAAUCAUAAGAGCCUCAACUAACUUAACAAAAAGCUUCAGCAUAAAACCAGUCAAAUGUGGAGCUGCAAUCAUCCACCAAAAAAGAAAAUUAUUCACUCACAUUUCAUUCAAAAAAAGAGGUAGAAUCAAAUUGCACAGGAGAAAUUAAAGACCUUGGAUUACUUCAGGAUCAUAUUUCUCUGCCCUCGUGUCAACUUCAUCUACUGGCAACAAAACUUGCUUCUUCCCCAUCUUUAACCAAAUUCAGACCUUCAAAUCGCAUCAAAAGAUGUUUUUCUAAUAAAUCUACUCUAGCUCACACAGAGCCCACAACCACUCGGCCUACACAAAUCACGAACAAUCAAGCAUGCAAAGUUUACCACAUAUAAUCAAAAUCAAUCGAGCAUAAAUCAGUAGAAAUGAUGAACAAAAUGAAGAGAAUCACGAAACAGAUAAGAUUACUGAUAUAAAUUUACACAUAUAGAUACAUAUGUAUGGGUUUGAAUAAGAGAACGGCCUUACCAAAAAGAGGCGGCGAGGUAACAAGAAGAAGAAGCCCUCAGUUAUGCUUCCAUACUAACAACAUAUUGCCCAUGAGCUCCAAAUUUGAUCUUCACAAUUGAGAUAUUGAUACCUAGCCGCAUGAUUUGAUGUUCUGCAGUCUCGAUUGGCUUAGAGAAGAGGGAGAUUAGGGCGAUUUCUAAGGUUAGGGCUUCUCGUACAUGGCGGACGAGGAGGUAUAUUGGAUGGAGCUCAUCAAGCCCUUGAGAAUUAAUUGGGAAAUAAUUCACAGAGAGGGAGGGAAAUAAGAAGUGGAACGAAAAAUAACGAGGGAAAGAAUGAAAACUAGUCAAAUCGACGGCCAAAUGGUGACCCUCGAAAUAGAUUAUCAUAUACUGACGAUUAGCCUG
rnacentral:lncRNA from 1 species